GAUGAACGCUGGCGGCGUGCCUAAUACAUGCAAGUCGAGCGAACAGACGAGGAGCUUGCUCCUCUGACGUUAGCGGCGGACGGGUGAGUAACACGUGGAUAACCUACCUAUAAGACUGGGAUAACUUCGGGAAACCGGAGCUAAUACCGGAUAACAUGUUGAACCGCAUGGUUCAACAGUGAAAGACGGUCUUGCUGUCACUUAUAGAUGGAUCCGCGCCGCAUUAGCUAGUUGGUAAGGUAACGGCUUACCAAGGCAACGAUGCGUAGCCGACCUGAGAGGGUGAUCGGCCACACUGGAACUGAGACACGGUCCAGACUCCUACGGGAGGAAGCAGUAGGGAAUCUUACGCAAUGGGCGAAAGCCUGACGGAGCAACGCCGCGUGAGUGAAGAAGGUCUUCGGAUCGUAAAACUCUGUUAUUAGGGAAGAACAAAUGUGUAAGUAACUAUGCACGUCUUGACGGUACCUAAUCAGAAAGCCACGGCUAACUACGUG
rnacentral:rRNA from 1 species